GUCUACGGCCAUGCCACCUUGAACAAGCCCAAUCCUGUUUGAUCUCAGAAGCUAAGCAGGGUUGGGCCUGGUUAGUACUUGGAUGGGAGACCACCUAGGAAGACCAGGUGCUAUAGGCA
rnacentral:rRNA from 1 species